rnacentral:rRNA from 1 species
UUUGACUGGGGCGGUCGCCUCCCAAAAGGUAACGGAGGCGCUCAAAGGUUCUCUCAGUACGGUCGGAAAUCGUACGUAGAGUGUAAAGGCAAAAGAGAGCUUGAUUGCAAGACAUACAGGUCGAGCAAGGAUGAAAAUCGGACUUAGUGAUCCGGUGGUUCUGCGUGGAAGGGCCAUCGCUCAACGGAUAAAAGCUACCCUGGGGAUAACAGGCUUAUCUCCCCCAAGAGUCCACAUCGACGGGGAGGUUUGGCACCUCGAUGUCGGCUCAUCACAUCCUGGGGCUGUAGUAGGUCCCAAGGGUUGGGCUGUUCGCCCAUUAAAGUGGUACGCGAGCUGGGUUCAGAACGUCGUGAGACAGUUCGGUCCCUAUCCGUCGCAGGCGUAGGAAAUUUGAGAAGACCUGUCCUUAGUACGAGAGGACCGGGAUGGACGUAUCUCUGGUGUACCAGUUGUCCUGCCAAGGGCAUGGCUGGGUAGCUAUGUACGGAAUGGAUAAGCGCUGAAAGCAUCUAAGCGCGAAGCCAACUUCAAGAUAAGAUUUCCCACCGCAAGGGUAAGACCCCAGAAAGACUAUCUGGUUGAUAGGUCGAAGGUGUAAGUGCAGCAAUGUAUUUAGCUUAUCGAUACUAAUAGGUCGAGGACUUGACCAAU